AAACAGUUAUAGAUAACGGAAGUUUUUUCUCUAAAAUUUUCAGUGUGCAGGUCUUAAACAGCUGAUAACAAUCAUGUGUUAGCAGUUGAGUUUGACUCUUUAUGUUGGCGCUUCAAUGGCCAGUAACAUUUUUUAAAACUCAACAUUGCAGGAGGAAAACCGCCCAGCAACUGGACUAUACAUGGACUCUGUUUUCUAGAAAAGAGAAACAUUACACCUAAUUCAACAAAAACAUACAGGAUUCCUGAAAUAGUAGACGGAAUUGUAAAAGAAACAAAUGCCAUUCCUCAUAUUACAUACACACGCAUCAAAGAUGUAAAGACUAGUUUCUGGAUAUCUGAAGUCCGACUCUGUUUUGAUUAAGAAUUCAGCAUAAUAGCCUGCAAGAAAAAUAAUGGUCAACAUUCUGUUCUUUAUCCACCAACUUUGAAUUCUUCUCAAACAGCUGUCCAUGGAGAAAAGAAAAACACUUGCAAGAAUUAAUUUCUGAAUAAAACACAAUGUAUAUUUUUAAAAAUAUUUUUUUCUCAAAUCAUAAACGAUAGAAUACUGUUAACCAAAUUUAUGGUUUCGAGGUGAAUAACUGCAAACUAAAUGAUCACACGUAUGUUGAUCACAUCACAACAAUUGAUAGCCGAUGGUGAAAUUCAAUCUGCCAAAUAGGAAAUGAAGAUGAUGCGAAUUAGAGUUUUCUUUAAAUAUAAGGAGUUAAUAAUGCAUAAAGAAAGAUAUGUACAUAUUGUUUGUUUUUUUUUUGUUCACAAACUAAAAUUGAUAGAAAGCGUGAAAGAAAAAAAAUGUACAGAAAUUUCUUUGCUAGAAAGGUUGUUGCAACGCACUUUGAAAAAAUUACACUCCUUAAAAAAAAUUUCGAACUGCGUUAAAAUUACAUGUAGGACAAAAUUAACGCACUUUGAAAAAAAGUUUUCAAAGUGCGUUAAAAUUGGGACAAAAACAACUUACUUUGAAAAAAAUUCCAAAUUGCGUAAAAUUUGGGACACACUCAACGUACUUUGAAAAAAAAAAUUCAAAGUGCGUUGAGAGCGUACAUCAAUAUUUUUACCAUGGGGACAUUAAACGCAGUUUAAAAAAAAAACACAAAGCAAAACAUUCUACAUUUAUAUUCAAGUAAUUGCAAGAAUCAAUUCGUUAUAAUUAUAUCUUUCGAAAAACAUGUACUCUUUAAACUCCAUUGGGAACAAAGAGGACAUGAGUAGAAGGACUCACAGCCCAACUCUUUUUUUUACUAAUACAUGUAUUGUACAUAGCCGUCGGUAGAAAAUUGAAAGAGGGACCCUUCAAAGGUAAGUACUUAUUUGCGUAACUGGUAAAACGUUGAAAACUUUCAAUGAAUUUUAGUUAACAUCAAAUGCAUACAAACUUGAAAAAAUUAAGAACAUUAAAACAUUUAGGAAAGAAAGAAUUUUAGAAGUGUGAAAAAAAUUGAAAUUGCCCACUUUUACAUCAUGUAGUGACCUCAUCACUGAAAAGUUAUCAAACAGGUUCAAUUAUUUAUCAUACCUAAAAUUUGCAAAAAUAUUAACUUUGCCAUACAAUGGUCGAUAUUAACGCACUUUGAAAAGUUAUUAUAUUUUUUUCAAAGCGCGUUUAUUUGGUCCCAUAUUUUACGCAUUUUGAAAU